GAUGAACGCUGGCGGCGUGCCUAAUACAUGCAAGUCGAGCGAACGGACGAGAAGCUUGCUUCUCUGAUGUUAGCGGCGGACGGGUGAGUAACACGUGGAUAACCUACCUAUAAGACUGUGAUAACUUCGGGAAACCGGAGCUAAUACCGGAUAAUAUUUUGAACCGCAUGGUUCAAAAGUGAAAGACGGUCUUGCUGUCACUUAUAGAUGGAUCCGCGCUGCAUUAGCUAGUUGGUAAGGUAACGGCUUACCAAGGCAACGAUGCAUAGCCGACCUGAGAGGGUGAUCGGCCACACUGGAACUGAGACACGGUCCAGACUCCUACGGGAGGCAGCAGUAGGGAAUCUUCCGCAAUGGGCGAAAGCCUGACGGAGCAACGCCGCGUGAGUGAUGAAGGGCUUCGGAUCGUAAAACUCUGUUAUUAGGGAAGAACAUAUGUGUAAGUAACUGUGCACAUCUUGACGGUACCUAAUCAGAAAGCCACGGCUAACUACGUGC
rnacentral:rRNA from 1 species